rnacentral:rRNA from 1 species
UACGUAGGGGGCAAGCGUUGUCCGGAAUCAUUGGGCGUAAAGCGCGUGUAGGCGGCUCGGUAAGUCUGCUGUGAAAGUCCAGGGCUCAACCCUGGGAUGCCGGUGGAUACUGUCGAGCUCGAGUCCGGAAGAGGCGAGUGGAAUUCCUGGUGUAGCGGUGAAAUGCGCAGAUAUCAAGGAGGAACACCGGUGGCGAAGGCGGUUCUCUGGGCCUUACCUGACGCUGAGGAGCGAAAGCAUGGGGAGCAAACAGG